rnacentral:rRNA from 1 species
UACGUAGGGUGCGAGCGUUGUCCGGAAUUACUGGGCGUAAAGAGCUCGUAGGUGGUUUGUCGCGUUGUUCGUGAAAUUCCCUGGCUUAACUGGGGGCGUGCGGGCGAUACGGGCAGACUGGAGUACUGCAGGGGAGACUGGAAUUCCUGGUGUAGCGGUGGAAUGCGCAGAUAUCAGGAGGAACACCGGUGGCGAAGGCGGCCUGCUGGGCAGUAGCUGACACUGAGGCGCGACAGCGUGGGGAGCAAACAGG